rnacentral:rRNA from 1 species
AGUGAACGCUGGCGGUAGGCCUAACACAUGCAAGUCGAACGGCAGCACAGUAAGAGCUUGCUCUUACGGGUGGCGAGUGGCGGACGGGUGAGGAAUACAUCGGAAUCUACUUUUUCGUGGGGGAUAACGUAGGGAAACUUACGCUAAUACCGCAUACGACCUACGGGUGAAAGCAGGGGAUCUUCGGACCUUGCGGGAUUGAAUGAGCCGAUGUCGGAUUAGCUAGUUGGCGGGGUAAAGGCCCACCAAGGCGACGAUCCGUAGCUGGUCUGAGAGGAUGAUCAGCCACACUGGAACUGGGACACGGUCCAGACUCCUACGGGAGGCAGCAGUGGGGAAUAUUGGACAAUGGGCGCAAGCCUGAUCCAGCCAUACCGCGUGGGUGAAGAAGGCCUUCGGGUUGUAAAGCCCUUUUGUUGGGAAAGAAAAGCAGCAGGUUAAUACCCCGCUGUUCUGACGGUACCCAAAGAAUAAGCACCGGCUAACUUCGUG